UCCUAGCCAUAGUGGUUAGAACAUCUGCCUCGGAUGCGGGAGGUCGCAGGUUCAAACCCUGGUCAAGUCAUAUCAA